GAACCGUAGGGGCAGAUGCUCAUUUUACAGGAAGGAAAGAAUCCAGUCAAUCUUCAAGUUUUCUUUUCAUGCGUGGUUGCCCGAGGCAAAGCACACGUCAAGAGAGAGAGAAAUGAGUUAAUCACAGGAUAUGAGGAAUCUGCCACCAUCCUGCUGCAAUGGUGAUGAAUCCCUUAAUUGUUUCCUGCGUUAAUCACUGCCAUGGGUCCCACCAAAAGUGAAUUUUCCUACGUUUUGAUUCCUACGAUCCAAACAUCUGUCCAAGUUCAUUUUCUUUAGUUUUCCGAUCCUCUAUUUUUUAUCACAUUCCUAUUCCUUUUUUACGUUUUUUUCUUUUCUUGUUUUUUAUAUUCCUUUAUUCCAAACAUACCCUUCAAUGAAAGAACGGGAGAUGGCAAAGGUGACGUGUCUGUAGCUACGAAUAGCCCACCGGGCCAUAUGAGCCCAUCUACGGCGCCGUAGCCCACCGGGCAGUGCCACACACCAAGCGAAAACCAAGUCCACUCGGAAAAAAAAAAAGAGAAUCAAAC
rnacentral:lncRNA from 1 species